UACCUUGUCAGCUCGGGGAUUCGACCUAGCAAACUUUUCGGUUACUGGCCCAACGCUGUAACCAUUAGGCUACCUGCCGCUCCAUACCGCCCUAAUAGAGGCUACCUGCCGCCCGUAAUAGAGGUGCAUAUUGACUCAGGUGGCACAUACACAUUGGUUCUGCUUACACAUAUACUAAUAGUUAAGUCCAUAUCCAUAUCGAUUCUGCUUACUACUUCUAAGAAAACAGUAUAGGAACUGGAAAAUCCAACACCAGCACUCCUAUCAGGUAGCUAGUAUUGUGAAUUGUUCAGUACAUAUGUGGCAAUUAUUUAUUUCAGAAGGAGCCAGCAAAACUAGUGCAUCUAUGUGCUCUCUGUCUUUGGACACCAUUAGACAAGCACAUGGUUAUUCUUGUAACUGUUAUGGCCAACUAUGGUUACACCUCUUGGGUUUUUCCCAGAACAGGGGUUCCCCUUUCAGUAGAGUCAGCAGGAUGUCAUGUAUUGGUUAAUCCUAUAGAGUGCCAAUGUAACGGAUGUGAAACGGCUAGCUCAGUUAGCGGUGCACGCUAAAUAGCGUUUCAAUCACUGACAUCACUUGCUCUGAGACCUUGAAGUAAUAGUUCCCCUUGCUCUGCAAGGGCCGCGGCUUUUGUGGAGCGAUGGGUAACGAUGCUUCGUGGGUGACUGUUGUUGAUGUUGUGUGCAGAGGGUCCCUGGUUCGCGCCCGGGUAUGGGCGAGGGGACGGUCUAAAGUUAUACUGCUACACCAAGGGACAAAGUGAGGUGAAAAGUUCAUUCUAACUUACAACACACUCCCAGGGUUUUAUGGCAGACUACACCAAUUGGAGUUUUACCGCCACCUACUGUACGGCGAGUGAACGAAGAAGAAAAAUAUCUAUCCAAAUUAUUUAUAUCGUAGAUCGUUGUUACUUCCCUGAGGUUGUGUCGUGUGUCCGUACUCAUCUCUCGCCGCCCUUGUGUGGAUUAUCUGCUGUGCUCCUUCCUACCCAUCCGGACACUCUCACCUGGGUUUCUCAGCACGCUCACAUAGGAGGAUGCGCCCUAGUCCCUGGGUCGGAUUCCGUCUGAGUACAGUCUGUCUGUCCUGUUGCUGCUGUAACCUGUAUUCAUUAAACCAUCGUUGCUUGCA